AGAUCGCUCAGCAGUUCUCUGAAGCAGUGCAGAUGGGCCUAUCCUCGCCAGGUCUCAAUCUCCGAUAUCGCUUUAAAUAGAAAUGAAAUUCUGUUUGUCACACAGGAUGGGGAAGGAUUUAAAGGGAAAUGGUUUGAAGACAAAAGAAAGAAUUCUGAAAAGAAAGUGUGUAUGAAAGAAUUCGACUUGAGAAACUUCCUUUUGCCCAUAGAGCUGUUAGUGUCAGCACAGAUCCAAGUGGGUGCAACUUUGCAAUCCUACAGUCAGACCCUAAAACAAGCCUUUAUGAAAUUCCAGUUGUGUCUUCAUCCUCCUUUUUUGAAGAAUUUGGCAAGCUCCUGAGGGAGACAGAUGAAAUGGACAGCUUCCAUGACGUGACCUUUCAAGUUGGCAAUAG
rnacentral:lncRNA from 1 species